UAGAUUUCUAAACUAGACAAAUAAAAAUGGACAUUCAUUUUUAGUAUAUUGAACAAGUAAAAAUGAACUAACAGAGUACUGAACACCUCAUUAAUCAGAAUUGUACAAUUAUUUGUAACACACAAGAAGAAACAAAACGUCAACACAUUUUCUAAGGUUGAUUGAAUUAAUAAACUUUGUUUGUAAAUAUGCAACAUUACCAAAUGUUACACAUGGACUUACUAAUAAUUAUAAUGAUCAAAGUCAAAGGAGGAAAUAAAUUCAUGACCUAUAUAAGGUGAAGGUGGACACAUAAGUCCA
rnacentral:lncRNA from 1 species